rnacentral:rRNA from 1 species
CCUACGGGAGGCAGCAGUGGGGAAUAUUGCACAAUGGGGGAAACCCUGAUGCAGCGACGCCGCGUGAAGGAAGAAGUAAUUCGUUAUGUAAAGCUCUAUCAGCAGGGAAGAAAAUGACGGUACCUGAGUAAUAAGCCCCGGCUAACUACGUGCCAGCAGCCGCGGUAAUACGUAGGGGGCAAGCGUUAUCCGGAUUUACUGGGUGUAAAGGGGGCGUAGACGGAAGUGCAAGUCUGGAGUGAAAGGCUGGGGCUCAACCCCAGGACUGCUCUGGAAACUGUAAGGCUGGAGUGCAGGAGAGGUAAGUGGAAUUCGUAGUGUAGCGGUGAAAUCCGUAGAUAUCUGGAGGAACACCAGUGGCGAAGGCGACUAUCUGGCACAUAACUGACGCUGAGGAGCGAAAGCGUGGGUAGCAAACAGGAUUAGAUACCCGUGUAGUC